rnacentral:rRNA from 1 species
UACGUAGGGUGCAAGCGUUGUCCGGAAUUAUUGGGCGUAAAGAGCGUGUAGGCGGCCCGACCAGUCCGCUGUGAAAGUCCAGGACUCAACCUGGAAUGCCGGUGGAUACUGUCGGCUAGAGUCCGGAAGGGCGAGUGGAAUUCCUGGUGUAGCCGGUGAAAUGCGUAGAUAUCGGAAGGAACACCUGUGGCGAAGCGGCUCACUGGACCAUUACUGACGCUGAGGCACGAAAGCUAGGGAGCAAACAGG